UCCGAUUUGGUUGAUAUUUUGAGUUUGGGCACAUCGACACAAUUUAGUUUAGGUCAUGUUGUGCCAAUUUUUCGAUUUAAUAAGCAGGCCGUGACACUUAUCUUAGUUUUAUGACAUACAGACGUUACUUCAAAAAAAAAAAGACCUAGAUGAUUAACAGAUUCGAGUUCUACGGCUACGGAGAUCAGAUUCGAAGACCAGCCCUGAGAGAUGCUGAUUGAGUUUUGAUUGAAAAGAUUGUAGAUGAAACCACAGUGCAAGAGAUGUCAGUGAGAGUUCAUUUAUACUUUGAGCGACCCAAAUACAAGUCCAUAUCUAUUUACAAGAUGGAUUUACCAUCUUCCAAAACAAUUGCAGAGUUAAAAAGUCUGAUUGUUCACAAGAUAAAAAAUUCGCCCAGUGAGCAACGAUGGUACUACAAUGGUCAUGUCCUUAGUGAUUCAUCAACUUUGGAAAAUGUCGCAGCAAAUGGUAUAAUAUUGGUGAAAAUUUGUGAUUCCAACUCUGGAUAAAAAAAAGGAAACAAUUACCCUCACAGUAUUUCAAAUUUGUGGAGUUCAUUGUCAAUUUGCAUUAAAUUUUUUCUAUCAUUUAUUUAUCCAAUUACAUUGUAAUAUUUUUCUAUUAUUCAUUUAUCCAAUUACAUUGUAAUACUUUUAGGCAGCAAAACUAAAGAGUAGACAGUAUUGAGUAGGUCAUCUUGAAAGAAUGCAAGAGAACAGAUGGGGUGAAAGUAGUAUAAUUGCAAAGACUAAGGCAGACAACUCAAAGGUAGACCACCAAUAAAAAUGGCUUAUAUAGAGGAAGUUCCAGCAUGGAGAUGAAAAAACUCGGCGAAAAUUUAAUCGGAAGCUGAGUUGAAGCGGGCCAGGGUCCUCCAUGGGCUUUAGCAUCAUAGAUGUGGGCUAUUUGUGAAAGAUGAGUUUAUCAAAUGUUUAACUCUUUGCUUCUCAUUUUGCUUGGAACAACUUCUAAACCCAUUGAAGCUUGGCAUUGCCCGUCAUGAGUACACUGAGGAAAAUCUAGAAGAGUAACAUCAGCUUCCAAGUAAAAUUAAAGCUGUAUUCUUUGCUAAUGGUUUCAAAACCCCUAUAUACUUAUGCAAGGUGAACACUGAGACUGAAAGAAGUAGCCAAGUCUUUGAGAGUAAAUGCUACUGAAAACUAAUGGGUAUCUGAGAUGAACUUAGUGACAAAGCAGGGAGGUCUAGACCUCUUGAGCUCGACCUGUAUGGCGACAUUUAUGCACUAUGCAAGACAGCAGGGUUUCUGUCCAGGGCUUUUGCUAGAGAGGAUUUGAGCCUCUCAAGCCCUCACUCAAAUGUAGUUUGAUGAUGAUGAGAUGAAGACCUCUUGAGUACCCUGCUAAAGAAAUCUGCUUUGUGGCUUAGUGCUUUAUCACUCCCAUGCAGUUCUAAUGACCUCACAGAUACAUCAAGAAGCUGUGGACACUCUUGCAAGAUGUGCACCACCGACUCCUCUGAAUCACCACAGUGUCGGCAAAGAGAACCUGGCAAAAUAUGCACCUAUCGCAGGAUUUCAACCCUUUCUCGUGUAUCCUAUGGCAGUCCUAGCCUGUUGAAACGUACUUGAAUGGCUAUCAAUAUUUGGAAAAUUAAAGUGUCCCUUAUAUACUUGUAUAAGUCACACUCUGGCUGACAAAAAGGAGGAACUCUUCAACACGUGAAAAGAUGAAACCUCAGCUGGUUUGAUUAUAGGCCUACUGUAAGACAUGACUUACUGUCAAAAGUUGUCUUUCAAGGUACCUAUUUUAAACUCUUGUAUACAGGUACCAUGAGUAAAAAAAAA
rnacentral:sRNA from 13 species